UACGUAGGGUGCGAGCGUUGUCCGGAAUUAUUGGGCGUAAAGAGCUCGUAGGCGGCUUAGUAAGUCGGAUGUGAAAACUCGGGGCUCAACCCCGAGACGCCAUCCGAUACUGCUGUGGCUUGAGUCUGGUAGGGGAGUGUGGAAUUCCCGGUGUAGCGGUGAAAUACGCAGAUAUCGGGAGGAACACCUGUGGCGAAAGCGGCGCACUGGACCACAACUGACGCUGAGGCGCGAAAGCUAGGGGAGCAAACAGG
rnacentral:rRNA from 1 species